rnacentral:rRNA from 1 species
CCAGCAGCCGCGGUAAUUCCAGCUCCAAUAGCGUAUACUAAAGUUGUUGCGGUUAAAAAGCUCGUAGUUGGAUCUUGGAAUGUGUUCAAGCGGGUCAGCUUCUGGCUGUGCGCUGCUUGACGUGUUCUUCUAUUUGGUUUUGGUGCGGUGCGCUUAACUGCGUGUCGCUCCCGGCCGAAACGUUUACCUUGAAAAAAUUAGAGUGUUCAAAGCAGACCUGUUUGAGUCUGAAUAUUCGUGCAUGGAAUAAUGAAAUAUGAAUUCGGUUCUAUUUUGUUGGUUUUCGGAACUCGAGUUAAUGAUCAAGAGGGACAGACGGGGGCAUUCGUACUCUGCCGUUAGAGGUGAAAUUCUUGGAUCGGCGGAAGACGCGCAACUGCGAAAGCAUUUGCCAAGAAUGUUUUCUUUAAUCAAGAACGAUAGUCGGAGGUUCGAAGACGAUCAGAUACCGUCCUAGUUUCGACUGUAAACUAUGCCAGCUAACGAUCAGACAGAGUUCUCUACGACUUGUCUGGCAGUUUCCGGGAAACCAAAGCGUUUGGGUUCCGGGGGAAGUAUGGUUGCAAAGCUGAAACUUAAAGGAAUUGACGGAAGGGCACCACCAGGAGUGGAGCCUGCGGCUUAAUUUGACUCGACACGGGGAAACUCACCCGGCCCGGACACAGUGAGGAUUGACAGAUUGAGAGUUCUUUCUUGAUUCUGUGGGUGGUGGUGCAUGGCCGUUCUUAGUUGGUGGAGCGAUUUGUCUGGUUAAUUCCGAUAACGAACGAGACUCUGGCAUGUUAAAUAGUCGCGGAAGUGCGUAUGCACUUGCCGAAUUGACUUCUUAGAGGGACUAGUGAUUUUAAUUCACACGAGAUUGAGCAAUACACAGGUCUGUGAUG